AGAGUUUGAUCAUGGCUCAGAUUGAACGCUGGCGGCAGGCCUAACACAUGCAAGUCGAACGGUAACAGGAAGCAGCUUGCUGCUUCGCUGACGAGUGGCGGACGGGUGAGUAAUGUCUGGGAAGCUGCCUGAUGGAGGGGGAUAACUACUGGAAACGGUAGCUAAUACCGCAUAAUGUCGCAAGACCAAAGAGGGGGACCUUCGGGCCUCUUGCCAUCGGAUGUGCCCAGAUGGGAUUAGCUUGUUGGUGGGGUAACGGCUCACCAAGGCGACGAUCCCUAGCUGGUCUGAGAGGAUGACCAGCCACACUGGAACUGAGACACGGUCCAGACUCCUACGGGAGGCAGCAGUGGGGAAUAUUGCACAAUGGGCGCAAGCCUGAUGCAGCCAUGCCGCGUGUAUGAAGAAGGCCUUCGGGUUGUAAAGUACUUUCAGCGGGGAGGAAGGGAGUAAAGUUAAUACCUUUGCUCAUUGACGUUACCCGCAGAAGAAGCACCGGCUAACUCCGUGCCAGCAGCCGCGGUAAUACGGAGGGUGCAAGCGUUAAUCGGAAUUACUGGGCGUAAAGCGCACGCAGGCGGUUUGUUAAGUCAGAUGUGAAAUCCCCGGGCUCAACCUGGGAACUGCAUCUGAUACUGGCAAGCUUGAGUCUCGUAGAGGGGGGUAGAAUUCCAGGUGUAGCGGUGAAAUGCGUAGAGAUCUGGAGGAAUACCGGUGACGAAGGCGGCCCCCUGGACGAAGACUGACGCUCAGGUGCGAAAGCGUGGGGAGCAAACAGGAUUAGAUACCCUGGUAGUCCACGCCGUAAACGAUGUCGACUUGGAGGUUGUGCCCUUGAGGCGUGGCUUCCGGAGCUAACGCGUUAAGUCGACCGCCUGGGGAGUACGGCCGCAAGGUUAAAACUCAAAUGAAUUGACGGGGGCCCGCACAAGCGGUGGAGCAUGUGGUUUAAUUCGAUGCAACGCGAAGAACCUUACCUGGUCUUGACAUCCACGGAAGUUUUCAGAGAUGAGAAUGUGCCUUCGGGAACCGUGAGACAGGUGCUGCAUGGCUGUCGUCAGCUCGUGUUGUGAAAUGUUGGGUUAAGUCCCGCAACGAGCGCAACCCUUAUCCUUUGUUGCCAGCGGUCCGGCCGGGAACUCAAAGGAGACUGCCAGUGAUAAACUGGAGGAAGGUGGGGAUGACGUCAAGUCAUCAUGGCCCUUACGACCAGGGCUACACACGUGCUACAAUGGCGCAUACAAAGAGAAGCGACCUCGCGAGAGCAAGCGGACCUCAUAAAGUGCGUCGUAGUCCGGAUUGGAGUCUGCAACUCGACUCCAUGAAGUCGGAAUCGCUAGUAAUCGUGGAUCAGAAUGCCACGGUGAAUACGUUCCCGGGCCUUGUACACACCGCCCGUCACACCAUGGGAGUGGGUUGCAAAAGAAGUAGGUAGCUUAACCUUCGGGAGGGCGCUUACCACUUUGUGAUUCAUGACUGGGGUGAAGUCGUAACAAGGUA
rnacentral:rRNA from 1 species